CAAGGAGAUAUUAUCAUUGUGUUAGAUCAGAAGGACCAUGCUGUUUUUACUCGACGAGGAGAAGAUCUUUUCAUGUGUAUGGAUAUACAGCUGGUUGAAGCACUGUGUGGCUUCCAAAAGCCAAUAUCCACUCUUGAUAACCGAACGAUAGUCAUCACCUCUCAUCCAGGUCAGAUUGUCAAGCAUGGAGACAUCAAGUGUGUGCUAAAGGAAGGCAUGCCAAUUUAUCGUAGACCAUAUGAAAAGGGUCAUCUAAUCAUUGAAUUUAAGGUAAACUUACCUGAAAAUGGCUUUCUCUCUCUUGAUAAACUCUCAUUGCUGGAAAAACUCUUACCUGAGAGGAAGGAAGUAGAAGAGACCGAUGAAAUGGAUCAGGUAGAACUGGUGGACUUUGAUCCAAAUCAGGAAAGACGACGCCAUUAUAAUGGAGAAGCCUAUGAGGAUGACGAACAUCAUCCCAGAGUUGGUGUUCAGUGUCAGACCUCUUAA